rnacentral:rRNA from 1 species
UGAGGAAUUUUCCGCAAUGGGCGAAAGCCUGACGGAGCAAUGCCGCGUGGAGGAAGAAGGUCCGUGGAUUGUAAACUCCUUUUCUCAGGGAAGAAUAAAUGACUGUACCUGAGGAAUAAGCACCGGCCAACUCUGUGCCAGCAGCCGCGGUAAGACAGAGGGUGCAAGCGUUAACCGGAAUGAUUGGGUGUAAAGCGUCUGUAGGUGGUUUCGGAAGUCGAAUGUCAAAUCCCAGGGCUCAACCCUGGACCGGCAUUCGAGAACUCCGAGACUUGAGUAUGGUAGGGGCAAAGGGAAUUCCCUGUUUAGAGGUGAAAUUCAUAGAGAUAGGGAAGAACACCAGUGGCGAAGGCGCUUUGCUGGGCCAAAACUGACACUGAGAGACGAAAGCUAAGGGAGCAAAUAGG